GUGAGGAAUAUUGGUCAAUGGGCGGGAGCCUGAACCAGCCAAGUCGCGUGAAGGAAGAAGGAUCUAUGGUUCGUAAACUUCUUUUGCAGGGGAAUAAAGUGCAGGACGUGUCCUGUUUUGUAUGUACCCUGAGAAUAAGGAUCGGCUAACUCCGUGCCAGCAGCCGCGGUAAUACGGAGGAUCCGAGCGUUAUCCGGAUUUAUUGGGUUUAAAGGGUGCGUAGGUGGUUUGAUAAGUCAGGGGUGAAAGUUUGCAGCUUAACUGUAAAAAUGCCGUUGAAACUGUCGGACUUGAGUGUAAAUGAGGUAGGCGGAAUGCGUGGUGUAGCGGUGAAAUGCAUAGAUAUCACGCAGAACUCCGAUUGCGAAGGCAGCUUACUAAGCUACAACUGACACUGAAGCACGAAAGCGUGGGGAUCAAACAGGAUUAGAAACCCUUGUAGUCC
rnacentral:rRNA from 1 species